rnacentral:rRNA from 1 species
GUAGGGAAUAUUAGAAAUGGACGAAAGUCUGAUCUAGCAACACCGCGUGUGCGAAGAAGGCCUUCGGGUCGUAAAGCACUUUUUGGAAGGAAUAGGAAGGAAUGUACUUCCAGAAUAAGUCUCGGCUAACUACGUGCCAGCAGCCGCGGUAACACGUAGGAGGCAAACGUUAUCCGGAUUUACUGGGCGUAAAGCGCGUGUAGGUGGUACUGUAAGUAGGGCGUGAAAGCUCCUGGCUCAACUGGGAGAGGCCGUUCUAAACUACAGAACUAGAGGAUGGUAGAGGGAGGUGGAAUUCCAGGUGUAGCGGUGGAAUGCGCAGAUAUCUGGAGGAACACCGGUGGCGAAGGCGGCCUCCUGGACCAUUCCUGACACUCAGACGCGAAAGCUAGGGUAGCAAACGGGAUUAGAAACCCCUGUAGUCC